rnacentral:rRNA from 1 species
CCAAUCGAACUCGGAGAUAGCUGGUUCUCCUCGAAAUAGCUUUAGGGCUAGCGUCGUGUUAGUAGCACAUGGGGGUAGAGCUCUGUAAAGGACUGGGGCGGGCAACUGUACCCACCCUUAACAAACUACGAAUACCAUGUGUGUAAUCACGGCAGUUAGAACAUCGGUGCUAAGAUCGGUGCUCAAAAGGGAAACAGCCCAGACCAUCAUCUAAGGUCCCUAAAUUAACGUUCAGUGGGAAACAAGGUGAGAUUUCUUAAACAGCUAGGAUGUUGGCUUAGAAGCAGCCAUUCAUUUAAAGAGUGCGUAACAGCUCACUAGUCAAGAGAUUUUGCGUGGAAAAUGUAACGGGGCUAAAGUGUUAAACCGAAGACAUGGACUUCAUAUUUUAUGGAGUGGUAGAGGAGCGUUGAUAUCGCAGUGAAGUCAGAUUGUAAAGUCUGGUGGAGCGUUAUCAAGUGAGAAUGCUGGAAUCAGUAACCUUAAGACAGGUGAGAAUCCUGUCGGUCGUAAGAGCAAGGUUUCCAGGGCUACAGUAAUUGUCCCUGGGUUAGUCGGUCCUAAGCCGAGGCGUAUCAGCGUAGGCGAUGGACAACAGGUUAAUAUUCCUGUACAGGUAGUAGUUGUUAACAGUUCACGGUGAGAGACUAGAGCGGAUUAAUGGUUUAUCCGUCCAAGUCUCUAGGGAACUAGAGAUGAGUGAAAGGUAAUCUUCGGAUUAUUAAUUCCGGGUGAAGCACUGGCUAGAAAAGCUGGUUCACUUAUGCUGCUGCCUACCGUACCGCAAACCAACACCGGUGCUCGGGUCGAGUAGACCAAGACCUACGUGAGAACCUUCGCUAAGGAACUCGGCAAAAAAGCGUCCGUAACUUCGGAAUAAGGACUGCCCUCUCAUUAAGAUGAGGAUUUGCUAGAAACUUGGUGGAAACAUAAGGUUAAUAGUAUUUACCUAAUAAUUUAACCAAAUUUUUCGUCAAGACAGAACACAUCAGGAAAUAUCCUGUGAUAUCUUUUCUAGUAACUCAAUCGUCAUUUUGAUGAGAGGGUCGCAGCUAAAGAGCCCACGGAACUGUUUAACAAAAACAUAGGUCUCUGCUAACGCGAAAGCGGAUGUAUAGGGGCUGACUCCUGCCCGGUGUCGGAAGGUUAAGGGGAGAGCUUUACGGUUCGAACUGAAGCCCCGAUGAACGGCGGCGAUAACUAUGAUCGUCCUAAGGUAGCGAAAUUCCUUGUCUGGUAAGUUCAGACCCGCACGAAUGGAGUAAUCAUGUGGGCACUGUCUCGGCGAAGGCCACGGUGAACGUGCAUUGGCGGUAAAGAUGCCGUCUGAUCAUGCCAGGACGAGAAGACCCCAUGGAGCUUUACUACAACUUUGCAUUGAUUAUUGGGACAUUUUGUGUAGAAUAGGUGGAAGACUUUGAAGCAGAUACGCUAGUAUUUGUGGAGUCGAAAUGUGAAAUACCACCCUGAAUGUUUUAGUAAUCUCACUUUUGACCUUAUCGGCCAAGAGGACCGUGCAUGGCGGGUAGUUUAACUGGGGCGGUUGCCUCCUAAAGAGUAGCGGAGGCGUUCAAAGGU